CAUACUGUACUUGAGGAGCUUAAAACGAGUGUCCACUGGUGCUCAGUGGAGAGCAGAGGACGCUGGAGAACCCGUCAAUAAAGGCAUGUCUUUCGACAAGAAGAAAUGAAUCUCAGACCGCGCAUCUCUGUUAUGCACCCACUAUGCCUCAAAGUGAGCUAUUACUGCUCCCUGAAACAUCACAAGGCCUCAUGGUGGGCUUUAAUAGCCCCCCUCCACUGGAAGCCCUCCACUGCAUCAGAUAGGAUCCAACCAGGCGCUUCAGUUGCCACGUAAAUGUGUUUAUAUGCACCUAUCCAGGCCUCAGUGACUCCCUGCUCCGCUGCAGCCACUUAAGAUGUGAUUCGGCACCUGUGGCGAGAGGAGUCUUUGUUCUGGCUACUGGUCAUCUACAAACACUUCCAAAGGUGGCUCCCUUCCAAGAUGUUUUCAACCACCCCUCUGGUUUCUGUCUACUCUGGCCCAUGAUGAAGCUCCAUGAACGUUCCUGAAUGAAACACCGGCCACCUGCCUCUGUGAGCCCACCCAAACUGCUUGAUCCUUUGUCAUCGCCUUCAAUCUAAUCGAAUCCAUCCCCACUGAUGAAUAAUGAUGGGUGAGGCAAGUGUCAUCAAAGCUUUACCUCACAUUCAUAGGUCAACAGAUGGCACUGUCACGACAUUAUCUUUCAAGUCUUAAUCUAAAAUCAUUCAAUGAAAAAGGCUUUGUCUGACAACUCUACUUCCAAUUGUCAUCAAUAUUUUCACUGUUUAUGUUCAGUCAACAGCCUCAAGAACACCUGCUAAAUGAAAGACGUCCUGUGAGGUGUAAAGCUUUUCAGUAUUUACAGGAUCAAGUAGUAGUAGAACAACCAGAAGUUGCUCAUCAGAAAAGUGCACAUGAUCAUUUUUGCAAUCUGUCUGUUUGUCUGUCUAACAAUCUGUCCGUCUGCCAAUACUGUCUCAUCCGCUUCCUCCCUUAGUACUGGGUUGUGAGAGUUCUGAUAUGCUCCUGCCACCUGCUCCUGACACUUUCAGUUCAUUUUAAUUAACAAUACAGUGGUACCUCGGUUUUCGAAUGUCCCAAAAUUCCAAUAAAUCGGAGUUCGAACAAAAAUUUUGAGAUUUUUUUGCUUCAGAUUUUGAACGAAAAUCCAGAACUGGAA